UCCGAUAUGGUCUAGUGGCUAGGAUUUGCCGCUCUCACUUGCAGAGUCAGUUCACUUGUUUCUCAAACAGUGCCGGCAAGGCCCGGGUUCGAUUCCCGGUGUCGGAA